rnacentral:rRNA from 1 species
CCUACGGGUGGCAGCAGUGGGGAAUAUUGCGCAAUGGGCGAAAGCCUGACGCAGCGACGCCGCGUGAGGGAUGAAGGUCUUCGGAUCGUAAACCUCUGUCCGCAGGGAAGAACGGUCACUGUGCUAAUCAGCAGUGAAUUGACGGUACCUGCAAAGGAAGCACCGGCUAACUCCGUGCCAGCCGCCGCGGUAAUACGGAGGGUGCGAGCGUUACUCGGAAUUACUGGGCGUACAGCGCUCGUAGGCGGUAUGUCAAGUCAAGGGUGAAAUCCCCGCGCGCAACGUGGGAACUGCCUUUGAAACUGGCAAACUGGAGUGUGUGAGAGGAUAGUGGAAUUCCAGGUGUAGGAGUGAAAUCCGUAGAUAUCUGGAGGAACAUCAGUGGCGAAGGCGACUAUCUGGCACAUAACUGACGCUGAGGAGCGAAAGCGUGGGUAGCAAACAGGAUUAGAUACCCCUGUAGUC